GACGAGCCACACGAACGUUAUUCGGAAUUACUGGGCUUAAAGGGUGCGUAGGCUGCGCGGAAAGUUGGGUGUGAAAUCCCUCGGCUCAACCGGAGGAACUGCGCCCAAAACUGCCGUGCUCGAGGAAGAUAGAGGUAAGCGGAACUUACGGUGGAGCGGUGAAAUGACGUUGAUAUCGUAAGGAACACCUGUGGCGAAAGCGGCUACUGGGUCUUUCUGGACGCUGAUGCACGAAAGCUAGGGGAGCAACGGGAGUUAG
rnacentral:rRNA from 1 species